CCCAGUAAACGGCGGCCGUAACUAUAACGGUCCUAAGGUAGCGAAAUUCCUUGUCGGGUAAGUUCCGACCUGCACGAAUGGCGUAACGAUCUCCCCGCUGUCUCUAACGUGGACUCAGCGAAAUUGAACUGUGUGUCAAGAUGCACACUACCCGCGGUUAGACGGAAAGACCCCAUGAACCUUUACUCCAGCUUUGCAUUGGCAACAGGACUGUGAUGUGCAGGAUAGGUGGUAGGCAUUGAAGCGGGGACGCCAGUCUUCGUGGAGCCUCCCUUGAGAUACCACCCUUCGCCGUCUUGUUGUCUAACCGCGACCCGUUAUCCGGGCCCGGGACCGUGCAUGGUGGGGAGUUUGACUGGGGCGGUCGCCUCCCAAAAAGUAACGGAGGCGCGCGAUGGUUGGCUCAGACCGGUCGGAAAUCGGUCGUUGAGUGCAAUGGCAGAAGCCAGCCUGACUGCAAGACUGACAAGUCGAGCAGAGACGAAAGUCGGUCAUAGUGAUCCGGUGGUCCCAAGUGGGAGGGCCAUCGCUCAACGGAUAAAAGGUACUCUGGGGAUAACAGGCUGAUGAUGCCCAAGAGUCCAUAUCGACGGCAUCGUUUGGCACCUCGAUGUCGGCUCAUCUCAUCCUGGGGCUGGAGCAGGUCCCAAGGGUAUGGCUGUUCGCCAUUUAAAGAGGUACGUGAGCUGGGUUUAGAACGUCGUGAGACAGUUCGGUCCCUAUCUGCCGUGGGUGCAGGAGACUUGAGAAGAGUUGACCCUAGUACGAGAGGACCGGGUUGAACGAACCACUGGUGGACCAGUUAUCGUGCCAACGGUAGUGCUGGGUAGCUAUGUUCGGACAGGAUAACCGCUGAAGGCAUCUAAGCGGGAAGCCCCCUUCAAAACAAGGUCUCCCUUGAGGGCCGUGGAAGACCACCACGUCGAUAGGCCAGAGGUGUAAGUGCAGCAAUGCAUUCAGCUGACUGGUACUAAUUGCCCGAUUGGCUUGAUCUG
rnacentral:rRNA from 1 species